CGUAGGUUUUAAAACUUUCCAGAUCUUUCUAGAAAUUUCUAGAUCAUUCCAGAAAUUUCUAGAACAAUCCAGACUAUUUCAGACCAAUGAUAGUCUCACAUUUUUAAAGUUAACAUCUUUCAACCCGUGUAUUUUUUACACCCUUAUAAUUAUCGACUUGCAGCCACCAUAGUGCACGAUGGGAACCUUAUUCGCUCUGUGCGCGACUUCAGCGCCAUGGCACGUUUGAACUACAGGGGGCUAUUGUAAUAUAUUUAUUAUAUAUUGAAUGGCUGUCAGAAAUAAUAAUAUCGAAUGAUAAAUAAAAAAAUGUUUUUUUAAUUAAAGGAAAUAUUUAUAAUAAAUAUUUGUUAAUGUAAAGUGUUCUUGUGCAUUAAAAAGUGAAAUAUUUGGAUUUAAAAUGGAAACCAUAAUAAAAACGGGAUUUCAAUCAAUAACCCACGAAAUUCAGUUCCAGCCACAGACAUUGGUAAAA